ACGUUUCCGUCUAAAAAGUGAGUACCGUCACAUCUAUAAAAGCGAUGGUGUUCGCGUCCAAGGGGCUACAAUGGCGAUCUCGGCGGUAAUUGGAUGGCGGACUGUGUUCGUUGUCUUGGCCUGUACGAUGGCUACAUCUAUCGCUUACACCAUCGCCAUCGAUGGCUCUCCUUUCCGCACGGAAAAUUUCUCGCGGUUAAUGGUCGCAACCAUAAUUGACAUUAUAUCAGCACCGUAGCCAUUGCGGCAUGGAUUUCCUAUAAGGAAGCAAACUGGAUUGCUUCAACAAUUUGGAUAGUUUUUCUUGUAUGUCUUGGCAGCAUUACUACUUGUGCCUACAUUCUUUGCCAGUUGUGGCAACUAUCGUCUCAGGAAUCCUUUGAAGAUAUUAUGUACCACGUUAUGAUCAACCAUCCAAACAAACCACUUGGAUGGUAACAACACUCAUCGAUUUCUUCACACAUGCCACUGUUUUGUCGAUCUGGAUGUUCUAUAAAGAAGAAUCAUGGCUUACUGCAAUUUUUUGGAUAGUUCUGGUACAGACUCUUGGGAGCACCUCUACAUGUCCCUUCAUUGUUAAGGAAUUGUUCAAGCUCAACUCCGAGGAUCCAGCCCACCUCAUUUUGUUGAAAGCUUCCCACAGG